rnacentral:rRNA from 1 species
ACAGCUAUGGGUCAAGUCCGAUAUCUUUAGGAGAAGUCUUAUUGUGAGGGCGAGUUAUAUAACACCAUAGGACUGGCCGUCCCAUAUGAAAAGAUUAUAUUAGAAUUGAAUGAAGCUUUGUUUAUAUAUUGAUAAUGACAGUAUAUAUAUCGUGUCUUGACUAAUUGCGUGCCAGCAGUCGCGGUAAUACGUAAGAGACUAGUGUUAUUCAUCUUAAUUAGGUUUAAAGGGUACCCAGACGGUCAAUAUAGCUUAUAAAAUGUUAGUACUUGACUAGAGUUUUAUGUAAGAGGGCAGUACUUGAGGAGGAGAGAUGAAAUUUCGUGAUACCAAAGGGACUCUGUAAAGGCGAAGGCAGCCCUCUAUGUAAAAACUGACGUUGAAGGACGAAGGCACAGAGAACAAACAGGAUUAGAUACCCAAGUAGUCUUUGCAGUAAAUGAUGAAUGCCAUAGGUUAGAUUGAUCAAUUAUAGUCUAGAGUUAGUCUAGCAAACUAAUGCCCUAUGAUAUAAUUCAAAAUAUCUGGUCUAUAAAUGAAAGUGUAAGCAUUUCACCUCAAGAGUA